rnacentral:lncRNA from 1 species
UCAUCAAAAUCAACCGUCCAAAAUCAUCACAAAGUCUUUCCGGAGUGUAUAAUAGAGAAAAAUACACUCGGAUACACUUAGAAAAGUUUCCAAUGGAUAAAAAAUCAUCAUUGACGAAGCGGUCUCAGAAAUCACCCCAAAAAACCUCGAUACAGACUUCAUCCAUGAACACGAAUACUUAGAAACAUGAUCGGAUCGUCUAGGAGGCUCUGAUACCAUGUUAAUAUCAAGAUUAUACGAGAGAAUCAUACAGAUUAUAGAGAGAGAAAGUAGAGAGAAUGAGGAGAGUAGGUGAGAAGACUCUGGAAUACCAGAGAGAAAAUAUCACAUUAACAGAGAAAACAAAAUAAAGAAAUGAAGUCCGGGGGUCACAUAAGUCGGUGACCCCUGUAUUUAUAUUUACACACGUGGGUCGGGUCAUUGACCCAUUAUAAUAAAGAAUGGACGGGUCACAGAUGGGUCACAUAUCUGGGCUCAGAUAUGACUCUCGGUAUUGGGCUCGGGAAAGGCCCAAAUGUAGGUUUUAUCAUCAUUGCCCAAUUGUAUACCAACUAUACACUAUAAAUACAUUGUGUAUACACUAUUACAAUAUGAUACAACAUCAUGUAUCUCAACA